CUGAAUACAAUUCAUAAAAAAUGCCUGUUCAUCUUAUUUCUCUCUUUCUGGCUGUUCAAGACAAACUCUUUGCCUAGUAUGCUUGAAGACAUUUUAUACAGCGACAUCAUAAGUGCACACCCAGAAUCUGCUUCUUCUGCCUGUUACACUUGGGGAAUCGAUCAGCUUUUAUACACAAUCUGGAAAAACUCCCUAUGUGUAUCAUUUUAAAAAAACAACCCAACCCAACCCAACCCAGCCCAACAACCCUCACAUUGGUUUCGUUUAUAGGAUACAUUGGAACAGCACUAAACCAACAGCAUCUCUAGGUGAGUGCCAGCUGUCUUUCAGGAGCUCUGAUCCUUUAAACUUAGUACUCUCUGAAGU